CCCAGACUCCUACGGGAGGCAGCAGUGGGGGAUAUUGCACAAUGGGGGGAACCCUGAUGCAGCGACGCCGCGUGGGUGAAGGAGCGUUUCGGCGCGUAAAGCCCUCUCGGCAGGGAAGAAGGAGGACGGUACCUGACUAAGAAGCCCCGGCUAACUACGUGCCAGCAGCCGCGGUAAUACGUAGGGGGCAAGCGUUAUCCGGAUUUACUGGGUGUAAAGGGGGCGCAGACGGCAGCGCAAGCCAGGAGUGAAAGCCCGGGGCCCAACCCCGGGACUGCUCUUGGAACUGCGCGGCUGGAGUGCAGGAGGGGCAGGCGGAAUUCCUGGUGUAGCGGUGAAAUGCGUAGAUAUCAGGAGGAACACCGGUGGCGAAGGCGGCCUGCUGGACUGCGACUGACGUUGAGGCCCGAAAGCGUGGGGAGCAAACAGGAUUAGAUACCCUGGUA
rnacentral:rRNA from 1 species